GCGACAACUACACGUUUUACAAGACCAACACCAACAAACAAUAUCAGAAUCAGAAGAAGAAACCAAAGCAAAGCAAAGCAAAACUCUCUAUCUCUUGAAAACAUUCUUGUAAUAACAAAAGGGAUUAAAGUUGAUUGGUGAAGUUGUUGUUGUUCAGUGGAGAAAUGGAAGAAGAUAAUAAGGUGGUUGUUAAUGGCUUCUCUCCGGUAACUUCCACUCCGGUAUUCUGGAAAUCUCGUAAGAGAUCAGGAUAGAGAGAUCGACGGCCUAAACGAGCAAUUGGAAGAGGACUCGCGCGUCCUGGAACAUCUUCAAUUGCAGCUGCUGGACGAAAGAAGUAAACGUGCGGAUGUGGAACGACAAAAUGCUUUGUUGCAGAACCAGGUUGAUAUGUUGAUGAACAUGCUUCAGGAGCCUCCUGAGAACAUAGAAGAGGAUGAACUUCCACAAGUUUACAUCUGUUAUUUAUUUGUUUGUUUGUUUGGCAUAUGGAGAGCUACCAAAAUAUUU
rnacentral:lncRNA from 1 species